CCUACGGGAGGCAGCAGUGAGGAAUAUUGGUCAAUGGACGAAAGUCUGAACCAGCCAUGCCGCGUGCAGGAAGACGGCUCUAUGAGUUGUAAACUGCUUUUGUACGAGUGUAAACGCAGAUACGCGUCUAUUUCUGACAGUAUCGUACGAAUAAGCAUCGGCUAACUCCGUGCCAGCAGCCGCGGUAAUACGGAGGAUUCAAGCGUUAUCCGGCUUUAUUGGGUUUAAAGGGUGCGUAGGCAGUCGGAUAAUGUCAAUGUGAAAUCCCGGGGCUCAACUUCGGAAUUGCCUCUGAUACUGUUCGCCUAGAGAGUAGUUGCGGUAGGCGGAAUGUAUGGUGUAGCGGUGAAAUGCUUAGAUAUCAUACAGAACACCGAUUGCGAAGGCAGCUUACCAAGCUACUUCUGACGUUGAGGCACGAAAGCGUGGGGAGCAAACAGGAUUAGAUACCCCGGUAGUC
rnacentral:rRNA from 1 species